rnacentral:rRNA from 1 species
GUGGGGAAUUUUGGACAAUGGGCGCAAGCCUGAUCCAGCAAUGCCGCGUGCAGGAAGAAGGCCUUCGGGUUGUAAACUGCUUUUGUACGGAACGAAACGGUCCUGGCUAAUACCCGGGGCUAAUGACGGUACCGUAAGAAUAAGCACCGGCUAACUACGUGCCGGCAGCCGCGGUAAUACGUAGGGUGCGAGCGUUAAUCGGAAUUACUGGGCGUAAAGCGUGCGCAGGCGGUGCUGUAAGACAGGCGUGAAAUCCCCGGGCUCAACCUGGGAAUUGCGCUUGUGACUGCAGUGCUGGAGUGCGGCAGAGGGGGAUGGAAUUCCGCGUGUAGCAGUGAAAUGCGUAGAUAUGCGGAGGAACACCGAUGGCGAAGGCAAUCCCCUGGGCCUGCACUGACGCUCAUGCACGAAAGCGUGGGGAGCAAACAGGAUUAGAUACCCCAGUAGUCC